CGUAGGUGACCUGCGGAAGGAUCAUUACCGAGUUAGGGUUCGUCCCACGAGCCCGAUCUCCCAACCCUUUGUCUAUCUUACCUUGUCGUUGCUUCGGCGGACCGGCCGUGACCAACUGGUCGUGGCCGCCGGGGGUCCAUCCCUUGGAGAGCGUCCGCCGAUGGCCCAACCACAAACUCUUGUACCAAACCAUGUCGUCUGAAUUACUUGAUUAAAAUCAAAAAACAAAACUUUCAACAACGGAUCUCUUGGUUCUGGCAUCGAUGAAGAACGCAGCGAAAUGCGAUAAGUAAUGCGAAUUGCAGAAUUUCCGUGAGUCAUCGAAUCUUUGAACGCACAUUGCGCCCACUGGUAUUCCGGUGGGCAUGCCUGUUCGAGCGUCAUUAUCCUCCCUCAAACCUCGGGUUUGGUGUUGGACCCAAGUUGUGUGAACAACUGGUCUCAAAGACAAUGACGGCGUCCCGUGGGACCCUCGGUGCAACGAGCUUUUAAACGAGCACGCGUCGAGUUUCAAGGACCUUCCGGGCCGGUCUCCUUCUUUUAUUUACAAAGGUUGACCUCGGAUCAGGUAAGGAAUACCCCGCCUGAACUUAAGCAUAUCAAUAAGCGGAAGGAAAAAGAAACCAAACAGGGAUUGCCUUCAGUAACGGCGAGUGAAGCCGGCCACAGCUCCAAAUUUGAAAUCUGGGCCUACCGUCCGAGUUGUAAUUUGUAGAGGGAUGUUUUGGGUACCCGCCGCCGGUUAAAUUUCCUGGAACAGAAUGUCAAAGAAGGUGAGAGUCCCGUCUGGAUCGCGGUAAGGCCUGUGUAAAACUCCCNNGACCGAGAUCGACCUUGUUGGNAUGCAGUCAAAAUGGGUGGUAA
rnacentral:rRNA from 1 species